UUCUCCAGUUUUCCUCCCUCCACAAAAAAUUAAUGUCUAAAUUCUAAUUACGUUUCCCUCCCUCCCCAAAAAUCGAAUUCUAAAUUCUAAUUUUGAUCCAUCUGCUAUGCCCAUCACUGUUUCCUGUAUGUAAGAAUACAGGGGCGGCGGAACCGGGGGAAACGCAUGAAAUUUUUUGGCGCAUGCGUCUGCAAUCAAACAAAACAGCGGUCAUUAUCACAUAGCGCUAAAUAUAAUAUUUCAGUGCCUCCCCCUCCAAAGAUUUUCAGCUUCUGCCGCCCCUGGAAUGUGAUAUCUCAAUUCAUUUUCUCUUCCAGCUUUCAAAUAUGGACUUGAGCUUAUUCGGGAGGAAUUCAAGACGCAUUAGUGUGCAUUGAGCUCCCUCCUCAUUUCCCCCAGUGGGGGUGAAGAGUGGGAAGUGGCUGUAAACAGUGAAUGAUGUAUAUGACAUGGGAAAACAAGGAUAAACUAUUUUAGGAGGAAUGAGGACAUAUUAUCGUGGCCCAAUCAUUUCUAAUCAUUCCCACAAAGAAUAGCGAAACAAAGUCGAGAGCUGCUGAAAAACAAUGCUAUGAGAACAAAUCUCAAAGACUGAAUCCUAUUAUGUUGCAAAUGGAUGAAUUGAGCUCAAAAGACUGUAUGCAAAGUUAUAUAUAUCUCUGCGUGACGUGUUGCAUAGGAGUACAGCUACUGCAGUGCUGAUGCAUGAAAGAGUCAAUACCCAUACAAUCACCCACACGUAUAGAUAAGACAUCUUCUGUCACAAUACCGAAACAACAUCUAACAUUUUCUUUUUUUAUAAAGAAUUUUCUGGAAAAAUAUUCUAUUGAAGUCAGGAUUUUCAGUGAAAAUAUACAUUCAAAUUUAGUACAUAGUAGCUUGAUAAAGAGAGAGAAAAAACUUUUAAAAGAGACGGGUUUAAGGUUAUGGAAAUAUUUUAAAUAAUUUCGAGGUCGUAUCGCAACAGGAACGACCACAUAGUGUGCAAAAUCCGUAUAAUUUGAUCACAGCUUAAUUUGCAAGAACAGAUGCAUUUGAUUAAAAAAUGCAUGUAUAUACCAAAGUAUAAUUAUAAAAACAUCUUAAUACAAAGAAGGUUUUGUUUACAGGAAUGCAGUACUUGAAUGAGCAGUACGUCAUUCUUUGUCCAAAAUCAUAAGCACCAUUGCACCU